GAGCGUGGCGCUGUUUUCUUAUCUGACUUAGGUAGAGUCUGAGCGUUUUCAAAAUAAGAGCGCUAAACAACACAGACUUCCUGAUGGCCUGCAGCCGGCACCCACGGCCUGAGCCGGCGGGUGGCAGCAGAGGCGGAGCAUGCAAGGGCUCGUCUUGAGGAAGCCCGCCGCCCACUGCCCACCGCCUGUGGGGAGCCCUCCUCCCCAGCACCCGCUUAGUGCCGGGGACAUUGGCACGUGCCCGGGACCAGGCCGAGCCCACGGUGACUCACAGGUGGCUGCAGCCUCAUCACCACCGGGUGACUGCACAUCACACAGGAGACCUGUGCCCUCUUCCUGAUGAGAAGUGCGAGGCCUGCAGAGAAGUCCUUCACCGCAAAUCCAGGCGCCAGCCAGGGCCUGCUCUGAGAGACGCUGGCUCUGAUGUGGGCCAGGCAAGGUGGCUGCCAGGGAUACUCAGGAAUUGCUCUUUCUGAAAGGAUUGGAGGGCACGGUCAUGUGCAGGUGGAGCUGAUUCUGCUCCAGAGGAGAGUCCAUGCAGCGGGAGGGGUGGCUGCCCGCUUCCUGUCUGUCCCUGCGUCAAGCUGGAACACGAAGCAUCGGAGGGUCAGCAGCCCAGUCCAUGCCCCCAGAACAAAGAGAGCAGGCUGCGCCUCCAGGUGGGGUGAGCAGGAAGGACCCUGAGGAGCCCAUGUCUGCUCAGAGUCCUGGGGGUGUGCUCCCCAUGGAGGUCCUGGGGCCGGGGAGGGAGGGUCUGCCCUUUCCACCCAGCUGAUAUGGUGCCCUCGGGGACAAGUGGCAGUCUCUCUCAGUCACCAGGGGCCUCGGGGAUAACAUGUAAAGUUUUGAGUGGACAAUCUGUGAUCAUAAAAAGCGAUGGUCGGCAC